UACAGAGGUCUCAAGCGUUGUUCGGAUUCAUUGGGCGUAAAGGGUGUGUAGGUGGCGCCGUUAGUCGGGUGUGAAAUUUCGGAGCUUAACUCCGAAACUGCAUCGAUACUGCGGUGCUUGAGGACUGGAGAGGAGACUGGAAAUUCAUGGUGUAGCAGUGAAAAUGCGUAGAGAUCAUGAGGAAGACCAGUGGCGAAGGCGGGUCUCUGGACAGUUCCUGACGCUGAGGCACGAAGGCCAGGGGGAGCAAACGGG
rnacentral:rRNA from 1 species